UAAAAAUUCUUUUUAGUUUAUAUUAGAAUAUCUGCCUUCCAAGCAGAAGGUCCUUAAUUUUAGGA
rnacentral:tRNA from 1 species